GGUGCGGGGCCGGGCCAGGGGCGGAGCGUGGGGGCGGUACAGGGCGGUGUUCCCGCCAGCCCGGCGCGUCGGGUCGCGGAGAGGGCGGAUCGCGGUCCGUGCACCCCCCCGUCAUGUCCAAGCACGUUUUUCUCACGGGACCCCCAGGAAUUGGAAAGACUACCUUGAUCCAGAAAGUCACUCAAGCUCUAAAAUCCUCAGGCAUUCCUAUUGAUGGAUUUUACACAGAAGAAGUUAGAGAAGGCGGCAAAAGAACAGGGUUUGAUGUUGUCACCUUGUCUGGAAAACGAGGACCUUUAUCUAGGGUCAGAUCUGAUUUUUCUGCUUCAAGACGUGAAUGUCGGGUUGGGCAGUAUGUUGUAGACGUUGUUUCAUUUGAGCAGUUGGUUCUACCUAUGCUGACAAAUGUAAACCUUGGCAGUGAUGCAGAAAAAAAGAUUUGUGUCAUAGAUGAGAUUGGUAAAAUGGAACUCUUCAGCCAGGCUUUUAUUCAAGCUGUUCGUCAAACGCUGGCCGGCUCAGGGACUGUGGUGCUUGGCACUAUUCCAGUACCUAAGGGAAAGCCACUGGAUCUUGUUGAAGAAAUAAGAAGUAGGAAAGAUGUUCAAGUGUUCAAUGUUAGCAAGGAGAACAGAAACAGCAUUUUGCAAGACAUUUUGGCAGCUGUAGAGUCCUGCAGAAAAUGAAGACCUUUUCUUGCCGGUCCCCCCCAAAUGUUCCUCAGUUGGCUGUGUGUUCCAAGGUAUGAUGUGGUUAAAGGAGAAACAUACAUUGGAUAUCCCAGCGGCUGAUCGCAUGAAGAGUUAAUUAAGUUCCGCAAGACCUGUUUAUUGUUCUGGAUGCUUCCUCUCUCGGGGUUACGAUUGCGUAAGAAAAUCAGUUCCUGCUGCUGCCCAGCCCAGAGUCCUCUAACGCACUCCUUGUUGACCUACAGCAGGAGCAUCACUCCUCGCAAGACAGCAAAGGCUAGACUUAGUCCAGAGAAAGUCUCCUACUACCCACAGUUACCCUCAAGAACAAAGGAUGGACCACAGUGCACAGAUGCUUGGCUAUUUGAUCACGUUGGACAUAUCACAAACAGCCACAGAAAUAAACUUGAGGAGAAAAACUACAAUGCACAUCUGGCCAUUACAUCUCGAACUCAUUACAAAACCUCUUUCAGUGUUACAUACAAGAUGCUUCGCAGCCAGAAUCAAUAGAAAGGCCUGAGAUUAAAUUCAAGGCCAUUUCUCAAUGUCUACUAGAAUAAUCUAAACAAUCCAAUUUUUUGCUGUCCAAUAUCUGAGUGUGACAGAGCAUGUGUUAGGAGCCCUGGUCUCUUCCAACGUGAGCCAGCUCCCAACAGCCCUGCAGGCAAGUAUAUCCCUCUCCUGCAGACAUCUGGCUGUGAGAUUCCCUGUUCUUACAUCAUCUCUGCAGAAAACUGAAACUCUCUUCAGGCUGAACAGACUGCAAAAGGUCCCAAAAAUAUCUCAUGACAUUUUUCUGAGGAAAAGGAUUAUGAAACAUCACCUAAGGAACAACUCCUUCAUUUUCUGAGGACCUGACUCAAUGCAGACCUGCCUCAGCCCCACAACUGGCAGAAGAGUACCAGCGAUCAUGCUCUAAAUCAUCCUCUGUAGGAGUUGCUGUAUCUCCGUCUCAUGGUAGGCUUGGAUAGGCCAAAAUAGGCUUAUACAUGUCCUGGCUUGCCCAGACAUGUUUUUCUGCUCUCCCUCCUUCUGCUAUGGGGAGAAGCAACUGCAGGAAAGAGGACAAAGAACCUGGAUCCACUGAGUUAAAGGACUCUGGCUUGCCCAGACAUGCUCCCCUGCUCCCCCCAGCUUCUGUGCUGGGAGAAGCAAACAGCCUCCAUAACACUCUGUCAAACACAGAGAGAUGGGAGGGAGACUUCUCACUAGUGCCUCAAGUUAGACCUUGGGCACAUCUUCUGGACUCAGUAGCUUUGCCUGUGUUGGACAAAGUCUCCCUCAGCCUGGCAUACCAUAUAGUUGUAUUCGUAUUGGAGUCUCACUGACUUACUGCUUCUCUGUGUUUAAAUAAGUUGUGAAGAUCUGUGUGAAGCUGUAAACCCAGUAAGAGCUUCCCUCUGAGCUGAAGUGAAUGUACUUGGAGGAUUUUUGUUGAUAAAGGUCAUGAUGUCAGAGGGUAGCACACCCAGCUUGCUCCUUAGUUAAAAAUUUCUACUGGGUAGUUUUUAUCAAUAAAAUGAAUAUAUAAAUUCUCUAAGAAAUGAAUAAAUGUGUUUCACCAAA